GUGAGGAAUAUUGGUCAAUGGGCGAGAGCCUGAACCAGCCAAGUCGCGUGAAGGAUGAAGGUUUUAUGAAUUGUAAACUUCUUUUGCAGGGGAAUAAAGUACGGUACGUGUACCGUUUUGUAUGUACUCUGCGAAUAAGGAUCGGCUAACUCCGUGCCAGCAGCCGCGGUAAUACGGAGGAUCCAAGCGUUAUCCGGAUUUAUUGGGUUUAAAGGGUGCGCAGGCGGGUUGAUAAGUCAGCGGUGAAAGUUUGCAGCUUAACUGUAAAAUUGCCGUUGAAACUGUCUAUAUUGAGUGCAAAUGAGGUAAGCGGAAUGUGUUGUGUAGCGGUGAAAUGCUUAGAUAUAACACAGAACACCGAUUGCGAAGGCAGCUUACUGGGAUGCAAAUGACGCUCAUGCACGAAAACGUGGGGAUCAAACAGGAUUAGAUACCCUGGUAGUCC
rnacentral:rRNA from 1 species